ensembl:lncRNA
GUGUGUAGAAAUCACUUUCAGCCUGUUUUUAGUCUUGUUUCUGGUUAUUGUUCGUCUGUUCGAGCUGCUUGAGAUUGUGUGUGUGUGUGUGUGUGUGUGUGUGUGUGUGUGUGUGUGUGUGUGUGUGUGUGUGUGUGUGUGUGUGUGUGGUUUGUUGUGAAAAUUAACCAUGAUUUUACUGCAAAACACCUUGUUAUUGUUCUUAAACUCUACAGCCCUGUAUCCUGAAAUUAAUUUCAGCACAUGUCCUUGCAUUUUUAAGGCACUUUUGACAGAUGAAGGGGUCUGUUCAGGUUCGGAGCUGCCGGGGGUCACGAGGAUCUGCCGGGAGUCACGAGGAGCUGCCGGAGGACAGGGGAGUAACCGCUGAACUCUGACCUUGUUCUGGACUCGGUGCUGCUGUGAUGCUCUGAGCUCUUGGACCGCUCUGAUUCUAAGCUCGGACCCGUUCUCUGGGAACUGCUUUGACGGACGCUUGUUUAAACAGAACGAUCAUACAGUGUGUGUGUGU